GGCGCCGUGGCAGAGUGGUCUAAUGCGAUAGACUAGAAUUUCAACUGAGCUUCUAGCCGAUCUAUUCUCUUCGGAGGCGCAUGUUCGAAUCAUGCCGGCGUCG